rnacentral:rRNA from 1 species
GUGCCAGCAGCCGCGGUAAUACAGAGGUCCCAAGCGUUGUUCGGAUUCACUGGGCGUAAAGGGUGCGCAGGUGGCGCUUCAAGUUUGAUGUGAAAGCCCCAAGCUCAACUUGGGAAUGGCAUUGAAUACUGAGGUGCUUGAGGUUUGGAGGGGGGACUGGAAUUCUCGGUGUAGCAGUGAAAUGCGUAGAUAUCGAGAGGAACACCAGUGGCGAAGGCGAGUCCCUGGACAACACCUGACACUGAGGCACGAAAGCUAGGGGAGCAAACAGGAUUAGAUACCCUGGUAGUCCUAGCCCUAAACGGUGUGCGUUUGCUGUAGGAGGAAUCGACCCCUUCUGUGGCGAAGCUAACGCGAUAAACGCACCGCCUGGGGAGUACGGUCGCAAGAUUAAAACUCAAAGAAAUUGACGGGGGCCUGCACAAGCGGUGGAGUAUGUGGCUUAAUUCGAUGCAACGCGAAGAACCUUACCUGGCCUUGACAUGCAUGUGGUAGAACCGUGAAAGCGGGACGACCCCGCAAGGGGAGCAUGCACAGGUGCUGCAUGGCUGUCGUCAGCUCGUGUCGUGAGAUGUUGGGUUAAGUCCCGCAACGAGCGCAACCCUUAUGUCCUGUUGCCACCCGAACGAGAGUUUGGAGCACUCUGGACAGACUGCCUCGCUUAAACGGGGAGGAAGGUGGGGAUGACGUCAAGUCAGUAUGGCCCUUACGGCCAGGGCUGCACACGUACUACAAUGCCCGGCACAAAGGGAAGCAAGACCGUCAGGUGGAGCAAAUCCCAGAAAACCGGGCCCAGUUCAGAUUGUCGUCUGCAACUCGACGGCAUGAAG